UUUGAAAUCUGGCCCCCAGGGUCCGAGUUGUAAUUUGUAGAGGAUGCUUUUGGCGAGGCGCCUUCCGAGUUCCCUGGAACGGGACGCCACAGAGGGUGAGAGCCCCGUCUGGUCGGAUGCCAAGCCUAUGUAAAGCUCCUUCGACGAGUCGAGUAGUUUGGGAAUGCUGCUCAAAAUGGGAGGUAUAUGUCUUCUAAAGCUAAAUACCGGCCAGAGACCGAUAGCGCACAAGUAGAGUGAUCGAAAGAUGAAAAGCACUUUGAAAAGAGGGUUAAAAAGUACGUGAAAUUGUUGAAAGGGAAGCGCCUAUGACCAGACUUGGGCCCGGUGAAUCAUCCAGCGUUCUCGCUGGUGCACUUUGCCGGGCACAGGCCAGCAUCAGUUUGGCGCGGGGGACAAAGGCUUCGGGAAUGUGGCUCCCUCGGGAGUGUUAUAGCCCGUUGCGUAAUACCCUGCGCCGGACUGAGGUACGCGCAUUGCAAGGAUGCUGGCGUAAUGGUCAUCAGCGACCCGUCUUGAAACACGGACCAAGGAGUCGUCUUCGUAUGCGAGUGUUCGGGUGUAAAACCCCUACGCGUAAUGAAAGUGAACGCAGGUGAGAGCUUCGGCGCAUCAUCGACCGAUCCUGAUGUUCUCGGAUGGAUUUGAGUAAGAGCAUACGGGGCCGGACCCGAAAGAAGGUGAACUAUGCCUGUAUAGGGUGAAGCCAGAGGAAACUCUGGUGGAGGCUCGCAGCGGUUCUGACGUGCGAAUCGAUCGUCAAAUAUGGGCAUGGGGGCGAAAGACUAAUCGAACCUUCUAGUAGCUGGUUUCCGCCGAAGUUUCCCUCAGAUAGCAGUGUUGAACUCAGUUUUAUGAGGUAAAGCGAAUGAUUAGGGACUCGGGGGCGCUAUUUAGCCUUCAUCCAUUCUCAAACUUUAAAUAUGUAAGAAGCUCUUGUUACUUAGCUGAACGUGAGCAUUCGAAUGUAUCAACACUAGUGGGCCAUUUUUGGUAAGCAGAACUGGCGAUGCGGGAUGAACCGAACGCGAGGUUAAGGUGCCGGAGUGGACGCUCAUCAGACACCACAAAAGGUGUUAGUACAUCUUGACAGCAGGACGGUGGCCAUGGAAGUCGGAAUCCGCUAAGGACUGUGUAACAACUCACCUGCCGAAUGUACUAGCCCUGAAAAUGGAUGGCGCUCAAGCGUCCCACCCAUACCUC
rnacentral:rRNA from 1 species